rnacentral:rRNA from 1 species
UAAGGAAUAUUGGUCAAUGGACGCAAGUCUGAACCAGCCAUGCCGCGUGAAGGAUGAAGGUCCUCUGGAUUGUAAACUUCUUUUAUCUGGGACGAAAACGGGAUUUUUAUCUCAAUUGACGGUACCAGAGGAAUAAGCACCGGCUAACUCCGUGCCAGCAGCCGCGGUAAUACGGAGGAUGCGAGCGUUAUCCGGAUUUACUGGGUUUAAAGGGUGCGUAGGUGGGCUUAUAAGUCAGUGGUGAAAUCUCCGAGCUUAACUUGGAAACUGCCGUUGAUACUGUAUAACUUGAAGACCGUAGAGGUAAGCGGAAUAUGUCAUGUAGCGGUGAAAUGCGUAGAUAUGACAUGGAACACCAAUUGCGAAGGCAGCUUACUAUGCGGUGAUUGACACUGAGGCACGAAAGCGUGGGU